GUCAACGCCCUAAACGAUGGGCACUAGGUGUGGGAGGUAUCGACCCCUCCCGUGCCGUAGCUAACGCAUUAAGUGCCCCGCCUGGGGAGUACGGUCGCAAGGCUAAAACUCAAAGGAAUUGACGGGGGCCCGCACAAGCGGUGGAGCAUGUGGUUUAAUUCGACGCAACGCGAAGAACCUUACCUGGGCUUGACAUCCAUGGAACCCCUAUGAAAGUAGGGGGUGCCUCGAAAGAGGAGCCAGGAGACAGGUGCUGCAUGGCUGUCGU
rnacentral:rRNA from 1 species